rnacentral:lncRNA from 1 species
GCAUGUGUGUGCCCCGCCCCCUUCAGGGGCGGGUGUUCAUUGGCUUGCUGCAAGGCCCCACCCACCCACACCUCAGCCUAUCAGGCGCUGGUGGUCCUGGUGGCCUAUUGGCCACCAGUGCUGUCAAGCAGUGGGCAAGGCGGGCAGGCCAGCCAGCCGAUGGCAUCCAUGUGCCCCCCCCCCCAAGUGGCAGCAAGGGGCACAGCACCCCCCCAGCCAGGGGGAGGAUGUGUCCAUGUGCCCCCUGGUGGUAGAAAGGGGCACCACCACCCCCAGCCAGAGGGAGGAUGUGCCCAUGUGCCCCCUGGUGGCAGCAAGGGGCACUGCCCCCCCCAGCCAGGGGGAGGAUGUGUCCAUGUGCCCCCUGGUGGCAGAAAGGGGCACUGCAACCCCCCACCCCAGCCAGGAGGUGGGUAUGUUCGUGCGCCACCUGGUGGCUGCAACGGGUACUGUGUCCUCCCAUGUGCCACUUUUCCCUGCCGUGGGGGGAGGGGUUUGGCUGGAGUCGCUGUUUUAUCCCCGCCCUGAGGGUUGGGCACAGGAAGAGCCGGGGAGAGAACCCAGGAGUCCUGGCUCCCAGCCCCCCCUGCUCUAACCACCGGCCCCCACUCCCCUCCCAGAGCCGGGGAGAGAACCCAGGAGUCCUGGCUCCCAGCCCCCCUGCUCUAACCCACCAGACCCCACUCCCCUCUCAGAGCCAGGGAGAGAACCCAGGCAUCAUGGCUCCUCACCUUAGGGGGGGCAGGGGGUACUCAGAUGUUAAUGACCCCCCCACUGAAGCGGCAGUAAAGGAAUUCGAGGGCGGGGUUUCCGGCUGGACGGGAAGGAUCUCGCCAGGGUUCUCUGGGUCAUUGGAUUUAGGUGGAGCCAAAGGCCAUUAUCCAGUGGUGGGGAGUCGUGUGGAUCAGAACCGCAUCCAUACAAUGCUGCGUAGGGUGUGCACCCCCCCCCCAGACACUGGGGUCUGGGAGAAGCUGAGGGGACGGGGCGGGCAGGAGGGUGCGGUCCACCGGGAUCCGAUCCGAAGAAGUGGGAGCACAACUAGUGGCCCCAUGGGUGUGAUCCAGAACACCAGAGCGAGCUUCCUUCCCAGAGCUGGGGAGAGAACCCAGGAGUCCUGGCUCCCAGCCCCCCUGCUCUAACCCAC